CUGCUGCCUUCCGUAGGAGUUUGGGCCGUGUCUCAGUCCCAAUGUGGCCGGUCACCCUCUCAGGCCGACUACUGAUCGUCGCCUUGGUAAGCCGUUACCCCACCAACUAGCUAAUCAGACGCAGAUUCAUCUAAAAGCGGGAGCAUUGUUAAGAGGCCUCCUUUCCUAAACAGAAGAUGCCUUCCGUUUAGCUUAUCCGGUAUUAGCAGUCGUUUCCAACUGUUGUCCCAGUCUUUAAGGUAGAUUAUCUACGCGUUACUCACCCGUCCG
rnacentral:rRNA from 1 species